rnacentral:rRNA from 1 species
UACGUAGGGUGCAAGCGUUGUCCGGAAUUAUUGGGCGUAAAGAGCUCGUAGGCGGCUUGUCGCGUCGGCUGUGAAAACCUGGGGCUCAACCCCGGGCCUGCAGCCGAUACGGGCAAGCUAGAAUUCGGUAGGGGAGACUGGAAUUCCUGGUGUAGCGGUGAAAUGCGUAGAUAUGUGGAGGAAUACCGAUGGCGAAGGCA